CCUACGGGAGACAGCAGUGAGGAAUAUUGGUCAAUGGCCGGAAGGCUGAACCAGCAAUGCCGCGUGAAGGUCAGUGCCCUAUGGGCGUUAAACUUCUUUUGUGCGGGAGCAAUAAUGGUCACGUGUGGCCAGACGAGAGUACCGUACGAAUAAGCAUCGGCUAACUCCGUGCCAGCAGCCGCGGUAAUACGGGGGAUGCAAGCGUUAUCCGGAUUUAUUGGGUUUAAAGGGUGCGUAGGCUGUGAGGUAAGUCAGCGGUGAAAUGCCCCCGCUCAACGGGGUGAAGUGCCAUUGAUACUGCCUGGCUGGAAUGCGGAUGCCGUGGGAGGAAUGUGUGGUGUAGCGGUGAAAUGCAUAGAUAUCACACAGAACACCGAUUGCGAAGGCAUCUCACGAAUCCGCGAUUGACGCUGAUGCACGAAAGCGUGGGUAUCAAACAGGAUUAGAUACCCUUGUAGUC
rnacentral:rRNA from 1 species